AUUGAACGCUGGCGGCAUGCCUUACACAUGCAAGUCGAACGGCAGCACGGAUGCUUGCACCUGGUGGCGAGUGGCGAACGGGUGAGUAAUACAUCGGAACGUACCUUAUCGUGGGGGAUAACGCAGCGAAAGCUGUGCUAAUACCGCAUACGCCCUGAGGGGGAAAGCGGGGGAUCGCAAGACCUCGCGCGAUUAGAGCGGCCGAUGCCUGAUUAGCUUGUUGGUGGGGGAAAAGCCCACCAAGGCGACGAUCAGUAGCUGGUCUGAGAGGGCGAUGAGCCACCGUGGGACAGAGACACGGCCCAGACUCCUACGGGAGGAAGCAGUGGGGAAUUGUGGACAAUGGGGGCAACCCUGAUCCAGCAAUGCCGCGUGAGUGAAGAAGGCCUUCGGGUUGUAAAGCUCUUUUGUCAGGGAAGAAACACCGGCUCUAACACAGUCCGGGAAUGACGGUACCUGAAGAAUAAGCACCGGCUAACUACGUGCCAGCCGCCGCUGUAA
rnacentral:rRNA from 1 species